rnacentral:rRNA from 1 species
GAUUAAGUUAUUAAGGGCGCACGGUGGAUGCCUUGGCACUAGAAGCCGAUGAAGGACGUUACUAACGACGAUAUGCUUUGGGGAGCUGUAAGUAAGCUUUGAUCCAGAGAUUUCCGAAUGGGGAAACCCAGCAUGAGUUAUGUCAUGUUAUCGAUAUGUGAAUACAUAGCAUAUCAGAAGGCACACCCGGAGAACUGAAACAUCUUAGUACCCGGAGGAAGAGAAAGAAAAUUCGAUUCCCUUAGUAGCGGCGAGCGAAACGGGAAGAGCCCAAACCAACAAGCUUGCUUGUUGGGGUUGUAGGACACUCUAUACGGAGUUACAAAGGACGACAUUAGACGAAUCAUCUGGAAAGAUGAAUCAAAGAAGGUAAUAAUCCUGUAGUCGAAAAUGUUGUCUCUCUUGAGUGGAUCCUGAGUACGACGGAGCACGUGAAAUUCCGUCGGAAUCUGGGAGGACCAUCUCCUAAGGCUAAAUACUCUCUAGUGACCGAUAGUGAACCAGUACCGUGAGGGAAAGGUGAAAAGCACCCCGGAAGGGGAGUGAAAUAGAACCUGAAACCGUGUGCUUACAAGUAGUCAGAGCCCGUUAAUGGGUGAUGGCGUGCCUUUUGUAGAAUGAACCGGCGAGUUACGAUUUGAUGCAAGGUUAAGCAGUAAAUGUGGAGCCGUAGCGAAAGCGAGUCUGAAUAGGGCGUUUAGUAUUUGGUCGUA